rnacentral:rRNA from 1 species
AUUGAACGCUGGCGGCAUGCCUUACACAUGCAAGUCGAGCGGUAACAGGUUAAGCUGACGAGUGGCGAACGGGUGAGUAAUGUAUCGGAACGUGCCCAGUCGUGGGGGAUAACUGCUCGCAAGAGCAGCUAAUACCGCAUACGACCUGAGGGUGAAAGCGGGGGAUCGCAAGACCUCGCGCGAUUGGAGCGGCCGAUAUCAGAUUAGGUAGUUGGUGGGGUAAAGGCUCACCAAGCCGACGAUCUGUAGCUGGUCUGAGAGGACGACCAGCCACACUGGGACUGAGACACGGCCCAGACUCCUACGGGAGGCAGCAGUGGGGAAUUUUGGACAAUGGGCGCAAGCCUGAUCCAGCCAUGCCGCGUGCGGGAAGAAGGCCUUCGGGUUGUAAACCGCUUUCGUCAGGGAAGAAAAGGUUCUGGCUAAUACCUGGGACUCAUGACGGUACCUGAAGAAUAAGCACCGGCUAACUACGUG